UUAAAUGGCCGCAGUAUUUUGACUGUGCAAAGGUAGCAUAAUCAUUAGUUUCUUAAUUAGAAGCUGGAAUGAAGGGUUGAACGAAAAAAUAACUGUCUCUUAUUAAAUUUUUUAGAAUUUUAUUAUUAAGUUAAAAAGCUUAAAUAAUUUUAAAAGACGAGAAGACCCUAUAGAGUUUUAUAAUUUUAUUUUAUUUAUUUUUUUAGUAAAAAUUUUAAUAAAUUAAAUAAAAUUAUUUAAUUGGGGUGAUUGAAAAAUUUUAUAAACUUAUUUUUUUUAAAAACAUUUAUUUAUGAUUAAUUGAUCCAUUAUUUAUGAUUACAAGAUUAAAUUACCUUAGGGAUAACAGCGUAAUUUCUUUUUAGAGUUCUAAUCGAUAAAGAAGAUUGCGACCUCGAUGUUGGAUUAAAAUUAAUUUUUGGUGUAGAAGCUAAAAUAUUAGGUCUGUUCGACCUUUAAAAUUUUACAUGAUCUGAGUUUAAACCGGUGUGAGCCAGGUUGGUUUCUAUCUUUAAAAAAAUAAAAUAUUUUAGUACGAAAGGACCAAAUAUUUGUAAUAGUUAUUAAUAAUUUGAAUAUAAUUAAAAU
rnacentral:rRNA from 1 species